rnacentral:rRNA from 1 species
UACGGAGGGUGCAAGCGUUGCUCGGAAUUAUUGGGCGUAAAGGGUAGGUAGGUGGUCUCAUUUGUCUGGGGUGAAAGCCUUGAGCUUAACUCAAGAAGUGCCCCAGAAACGGUGAGACUAGAGUCCUGGAGAGGGUCGUGGAAUUCCCGGUGUAGCGGUGAAAUGCGUAGAGAUCGGGAGGAAUACCGAUGGCGAAGGCAGCCAUCUGGCCUAACACUGACGCUGAGGUGCGAAAGCAUGGGGAGCAAACAGG